rnacentral:lncRNA from 1 species
UAAGUCUAACUCUUUGCCUGGUGUGUUCUUUGGUCUUGCAGCUGCCCUGACCUGUGCCCUUCAGGAGUUAGGUUGCAACAAUUGGUGAGUCACCAGCCAGGAGACUGAAGGACCACAGGCAGUGGUGGGCAUGAGCUCCAGGAAGGGAGAAUCCACAGAGGAAAUCCGGAGUUGACCUGUAAUGUCCACAUGGGGAGGAGUGGCUGCCAUCCUGGAUGAGUGGAGACCAGAAACAGCCUCUCCUGGAAAUCAAAAGUCAGAUGCUUUGGCUCAUAUUCAUCUGAUUUGCCUCACCUCCACUGAAGAAUCAACCAUAUGGCUACAUAAAAAGGGUGUGGUAUAUGAAUAUAUCUCAAUAAAACUGCUAAA